GGCGCUCUGCCCGAGUGGUUAAGGGGUAAGUCUCGAACUACAAAUUCGAUCGUCCUUCCGUGACGAGUUAACUUAUAGGCUCUGCCUGCGUCGGUUCAAAUCCGACGGGCGUCG
rnacentral:tRNA from 1 species